UACGAACUGUGCGAACGUUAUUCGGAAUCACUGGGCUUACAGGGUGCGUAGGCGGCUUAGCAAGUCAGGUGUGAAAGCCCCCGGCUCAACCGGGGAACUGCGCUUGAAACUGCUGAGCUCGAGUCAGCCAGAGGUACACGGAACUUCCAGUGGAGCGGUGAAAUGUGUUGAUAUUGGAAGGAACACCGGAGGCGAAAGCGGUGUACUGGGGCUGGUCUGACGCUGAGGCACGAAAGCCAGGGGAGCGAACGGG
rnacentral:rRNA from 1 species